ACCGCAUAUGCCGUGAACAUCGCAUGAUGAAAACGGGAAAAGAGCAAUCUGCUAAUAGAUGGGCUUGCGCCUGAUUUAGCUAGUUGGUGUGGUAAAGGCAUACCAAGGCAACGAUCAGUAGCCGGACUGAGAGGUUGAACGGCCACAUUGGGACUGAGAUACGGCCCAGACUCCUACGGGAGGCAGCAGUCGGGAAUAUUGCGCAAUGGAGGAAACUCUGACGCAGUGACGCCGCGUAUGGGAAGAAGGUUUUCGGAUUGUAAACCAUUUUAGACAAGGAAGAAACAAGACAGUACUUGUAGAAUAAGCUCCGGCUAACUACGUGCCAGCAGCCGCGGUAAUACGUAGGGAGCAAGCGUUAUCCGGAUUUAUUGGGUGUAAAGGGUGCGUAGACGGGAAGGUAAGUUAGUUGUGAAAUCCCUCGGCUCAACUGAGGAACUGCGACUAAAACUGCUUUUCUUGAGUACUGGAGAGGAAAGUGGAAUUCCUAGUGUAGCGGUGAAAUGCGUAGAUAUUAGGAGGAACACCAGUGGCGAAGGCGACUUUCUGGACAGUAACUGACGUUGAGGCACGAAAGUGUGGGGAGCAAACAGGAUUAGAUACCCUGGUAGUCCACACCGUAAACGAAUGGAUAAUUAGGUGUAGGGGAUAUUAAGUUUUCUGUGCCGUCGCACACGCAGUAAGUAUCCCCCUUGGGGAGUACGGCCGCAGGGGUGAAACUCAAAGGAAAUUGACGGGGGCCCGCACAAGCAGUGGAGUAUGUGGUUUAAUUUGACGCAACGCGAAGAACCUUACCAAGGCUUGACAUAUACAGGAAUAACUAAGAAAUUAGUUAGCUCUUCGGAGUCUGUAUACAGGUGGUGCAUGGUUGUCGUCAGCUCGUGUCGUGAGAUGUUGGGUUAAGUCCCGCAACGAGCGCAACCCCUAAUAUUAGUUGCCAGCGAGUAAUGUCGGGAACUCUAAUAUGACUGCCGGUGAUAAAUCGGAGGAAGGUGGGGACGACGUCAAAUCAUCAUGCCCUUUAUGUCUUGGGCUACACACGUACUACAAUGGCUAUAACAAAGAGAAGCGAGACAGUGAUGUGGAGCAAAACUCAAAAAAAUAGUCUCAGUUCGGAUUGAAGGCUGAAAUUCGCCUUCAUGAAGCUGGAAUUGCUAGUAAUGGCAGGUCAGCAUACUGCCGUGAAUACGUUCCCGGGCCUUGCACA
rnacentral:rRNA from 1 species